CCAACCGGGAGAGAGCGCCGAGCCAGUAAUAUAAGGCAUGAGCGCCGCCGAAGGAGCAACGGCCCCGUAAACUCUCAGGCAAAAGGACCGGUGGC
rnacentral:ncRNA from 1 species